CCAUGACAUAUCAGCUCUUAUUGUGAGCACACAGGACGGUGGCAUCUUUCUAAGGUUUUUUUUAUUUUCCCAGCAAUCAGUACAACCAAGUCAUCGUUAUAAGGCAUCGCCCUCUUUUGCCCACCCCCCCAGCACCAGGUGUGGCCACUAGCCUAUAUGAAGGCCCAAAAUUGUGUGUUCCUUUCUGCUCUGACAAUGGCAUGCCCAUUCGUGCGAGAUGUGGUGGAUGAAGAAGCACUUGUGCUGAGGAGAGCCUUCAGGCGAGAAAGGGUCUUCAGGGACCGGUUGGACCCACUGGCCUUCCCUGAUGACCAUCUAUAUGAAAGAUACAGGUUUUCUGCAGAUGGCAUCAGGUAUCUAUGCAGACUACUGGGUCCCAGGAUUAAGCACCGCACUGCACGGAGCCAUGCACUGAGUGUGGAGCAAAUGGUUUGUGUGGCCUUGCGCUUUUUUGCUAGUGGAGCCUUCCUGUACUCAGUGGGGGAUGCAGAACAGCUGAACAAGGCCACAAUUUGCCGCACAAUAAGGAGUGUGUGUCUGACUAUCAAAGCAUUAGCAGAUGUCUUCAUCUCCUUCCCUGGCCACAGAAGACUCUGUGACAUCAAAGAGGAGUUCUAUAGGAUUGCAGAUGGUCUGCAAUGCUGACUGUGUGAUCAGCAAUGUUGUGGCAAAAUGGCCUGGCUCAGUCCAUGACUCCAGAAUCUUUCGGGCCUCUGAAAUCUAUCACAAGGUGAAUUCUCUGGUGUGUUGCUGGGAGACAGGGGGUAUGGCUGCCAGCCUUUUCUCCUGACACCUUUCACAGACCCCCAGGAAGCACAGCAGGCCUACAACCAUGCCCAUGCCAGGACCAGGGCCAGAGUUGAAAUGACCUUUGGCCUCCUGAAGGCACGCUUUCACUGCCUUCACAAAUUAAGGGUCAGCCCUGUUAGGGCAUGUGAUAUUACUGUGGCUUGUGCUGUCCUCCACAAUGUGGCCUGCCUGAGGAAGGAGAGGGCCCCCAGAGUGCCACCAGCCAUGGACUGGGACAAUCCGGCAAUCUUCCCUGAUGACGACAGUGGUCGGCUGCUGAGGGACCAAUAUGUGUUGAAUUAUUUUAGUUAGUAUGUGUGCUUUCAAUUUUGGUUAAAUAUGUCCUGCGGUGGCAGAGGAAUUUGGUUUUUUUUGGGUUCGUUUUUUGACGAAUUUGGCCUCUUAUGAUGUUUGUGCGGUAUACUGUGUGUAAUACAAGGCUGCAGGGAGGCUACUGCAUCCAUUCAUUUGUCUGUUCAGUUGAUGUGUAUGGAUUUGUCCUGCAUUUAUUUUAGUGUGCAGACAUGCAGGGUGUGUUAUAUACAGACCUUUGAAUGUGUAUGUAUCAUUUUGUAUAAUAUGCUUGGAUUCUGUGCUUUCCAUCUUGUAGAGUCACUGUGACUUCAGUUUCGAAAGGAGCUGAUGGUUUACCUGCUUUGUUUUGUCCUUAUUCAAUAAAGGAACAUAAUGUUACACAUUGUGUUUUUAUAUUCAUA